AUGGCCGAAAGCCUCAGGUUUCUGGAGGAAGGUUCGUCCGCUCCAGGUUAGUCGGGAGCUAAGGUGAGGCCUAACGGCGUAGCCGAUGCACAGACGGUAGAGAUUCCGUCACCACCAAAAGAGUUAAACACAGGGACACAUUUGAAGUCUCGGAGCCGGGUGUUGGUUCCGGUAGCGAUCGAGGAAAGUUAGUACCGAAGUCCGGGAUGGAAGAUGGCGAGAAAAGCUGUGUGUAUUUCUGCGGUGCCCGUACCGCAAACCGACACAGGUAGGUAGGAAGAAGAUUCUAAGGCCAACGGGAGAAGGGUUGUUAAGGAACUCGGCAAAUUG
rnacentral:rRNA from 1 species